GACGAACGCUGGCGGCGUGCCUAAUACAUGCAAGUAGAACGCUGAAGCGAGGAGCUUGCUCUUCUUGGAUGAGUUGCGAACGGGUGAGUAACGCGUAGGUAACCUGCCUUGUAGCGGGGGAUAACUAUUGGAAACGAUAGCUAAUACCGCAUAACAAUGGAUGACACAUGUCAUUUAUUUGAAAGGGGCAAUUGCUCCACUACAAGAUGGACCUGCGUUGUAUUAGCUAGUAGGUGAGGUAAUGGCUCACCUAGGCGACGAUACAUAGCCGACCUGAGAGGGUGAUCGGCCACACUGGGACUGAGACACGGCCCAGAGUCCUACGGGAGGCAGCAGUAGGGAAUCUUCGGCAAUGGGGGCAACCCUGACCGAGCAACGCCGCGUGAGUGAAGAAGGUUUUCGGAUCGUAAAGCUCUGUUGUAAGUCAAGAACGGGUGUGAGAGUGGAAAGUUCACACUGUGACGGUAGCUUACCAGAAAGGGACGGCUAACUACGUG
rnacentral:rRNA from 1 species